AUAACUACUGGAAACGGUGGCUAAUACCGCAUAACGUCGCAAGACCAAAGAGGGGGACCUUCGGGCCUCUUGCCAUCAGAUGUGCCCAGAUGGGAUUAGCUUGUUGGUGAGGUAACGGCUCACCAAGGCGACGAUCCCUAGCUGGUCUGAGAGGAUGACCAGCCACACUGGAACUGAGACACGGUCCAGACUCCUACGGGAGGCAGCAGUGGGGAAUAUUGCACAAUGGGCGCAAGCCUGAUGCAGCCAUGCCGCGUGUAUGAAGAAGGCCUUCGGGUUGUAAAGUACUUUCAGCGGGGAGG
rnacentral:rRNA from 3 species